rnacentral:snRNA from 1 species
AGCUUUGCGCCCGUGGCAGUAUUGUAGCCAGUGAGGUUUAUCCGAGGCGUGAUUAUUGCUAAUAGAAAAAAAAAAAGCAAAUUGAUAAAUUAUUAGGAACAUUUCAUAUUUGACUUUCUUUCUGAACCCACUUGUA